rnacentral:rRNA from 1 species
CUACGGGGGGCACCAGUGAGGAAUAUUGCACAAUGGGGGGAACCCUGAUGCAGCAACGCCGCGUGGAGGAUGACGCAUUUCGGUGUGUAAACUCCUUUUAUAUGUCAAGAAAAUGACGGUAGCAUAUGAAUAAGCGCCGGCUAACUCCGUGCCAGCAGCCGCGGUAAUACGGAGGGCGCAAGCGUUACUCGGAAUCACUGGGCGUAAAGGACGCGUAGGCGGGUUGAAAAGUCAGGUGUGAAAGCCUACAGCUUAACUGUAGAACUGCACUUGAAACUCUCAAUCUAGAGUAUGGGAGGGGCAGAUGGAAUUAGUGGUGUAGGGGUAAAAUCCGUAGAUAUCACUAGGAAUACCUAAAGCGAAGGCGAUCUCCUGGAACAUUACUGACGCUAAGGCGUGAAAGCGUGGGGAGCAAACAGGAUUAGAUACCCGCGUAGUC